GACAUAGGUUGCGAACGUUAUCCGGAAUUAUUGGGCCUAAAGCAUCCGUAGCCGGUUCUGCAAGUCCCCCGUUAAAUCCAGCUGCUCAACAGAUGGGCCGCGGAGGAUACUACAGAGCUAGGAGGCAGGAGAGGCAAGCGGUACUCAGUGGGUAGGGGUAAAAUCCGUUGAUCCAUUGAAGACCACCAGUGGCGAAGGCGGCUUGCCAGAAUGCGCUCGACGGUGAGGGAUGAAAGCUGGGGGAGCAAACCGG
rnacentral:rRNA from 1 species